rnacentral:tRNA from 1 species
GGGGCUUUAGCUCAGCUGGGAGAGCGCCUGCAUGGCAUGCANGGUGACCUGAGUCGAGCCUGAAUCUCAC